rnacentral:rRNA from 1 species
AUGGAGCAGUUGGUAGCCUGCACGAGCACCGAGCUGGUAGGUGGACCACAUGCCAAUAGCGCGCCGUUCUCUUUGGCUGGCUUUCUUUACCCAACUCCACAUCUUGAUCUUCCUCCCAUCCCCAACAUUCACGCCUCCUCCUCCCUGAAGCAAUCCCACGCCGCCAUGGCCUCGAGCACACCCCUUCACAUCGUCUCCACAGCCUCCUUCCAGCUCUCUUCUCGCUUGCCUCCGGGAGGUCCCGUGCUCUUCUUCAAGGAGGACUUUGCAUUCAAGGAAGGGGCCAUCUUCAAAGCUGCCUGCCUGAUCAAUGAUGACACACUGUUGGAACAACUUGGCUAUCUCCUGGAUGUAGUUGAAGUGUACUUCAAGCUAUCGGAUGAGCUGUCGCUAUUCUGGAAGCCGAAACCGUGGUAUGUGGUUAUAUGGGCCCUCUAUCUCCCAAAGCCCAUUCUCUCAGCCUCGCUCAGCCCCCUCCUUGUUAGUUUCCCAGCCCAUUCUCACCCUCUCCCAUUCCCUCAUCCCCUCGUCCAAUCCAAUCGACCUGGGCGAACAGCCCUACCGAUAGGCGAGAGCGCCGCCGCCGGCGAAUCCCUUCAUCCUUUGCCUCGAUCGCUACCUUUAUCCUCUGCCUCGAUCGCUCCCUCCCAUGUUGCCUCCUUGUCCCGCUGUUCUAUGCCAGCCGACGAAUUCCUCCAGCGCAUGCACACGGGAAAGAGAUCACUUGGAGUAGAACUACCCACAUAUAAGAAUUGGCAGGAAAGGGGAUGGCCACGGUUCACUCAGUCGCAGAUGAUGGCGAGGCGACAAAGACGUACAGUGUGCCCAGCUCAUCCCGUGUUCGAUUGGGCUGGGGCGCUCAUGGCGGCGCUGAAAGGAAUCUCCUAG